rnacentral:rRNA from 1 species
CAGCCGCGUUGUCUAGGGAUCAACCUUGCUUUUGUGGGGUGUACUUCCUAGUCAAUGGGUCAACAUCAGUUUUGAUCACUGGAGAAAGGCCAGUUGAAUGUGGCAUCCUCGGAUGUGUUAUAGCUUCUAGUCAUAUACAGUGGUUGGGACUGAGGAACUCAGCACGCGGCAGGGGCCGGGUUUUUAACACGUACGUGCUUAGGAUGUUGGCAUAAUGGCCUUAAGCGACCCGUCUUGAAACACGGACCAAGGAGUCUAAACAUAUAUGCGAGUGUU